GACGCACGCUGGCGGCGUGCUUAACACAUGCAAGUCGAACGGAAAGGCCCUGCUUUCGUGGGGUGCUCGAGUGGCGAACGGGUGAGUAACACGUGAGUAACCUGCCCUUGACUUUGGGAUAACUUCAGGAAACUGGGGCUAAUACCGGAUAGGAGCUCCUGCUGCAUGGUGGGGGUUGGAACGUUUCGGCGGUUGGGGAUGGACUCGCGGCUUAUCAGCUUGUUGGUGGGGUAGUGGCUUACCAAGGCUUUGACGGGUAGCCGGCCCGAGAGGGUGACCGGCCACAUUGGGACUGAGAUACGGCCCAGACUCCUACGGGAGGCAGCAGUGGGAAAUAUUGCACAAUGGGAGGAAGCCUGAUGCAGCAACGCCGCGUGCGGGAUGACGGCCUUCGGGUUGUAAACCGCUUUCGCCUGUGACGAAGCGUGAGUGACGGUAAUGGGUAAAGAAGCACCGGCUAACUACGUG
rnacentral:rRNA from 1 species